UUUUUUUUUUUUUUUUUUGUACGUUGUUAAUUAUUGAUGUUAAUAUUUAUAUAGUCUCGUUAUUGGUUAAGUUUUGCUGUUAAAUUUAUUAUAAAACCGGACGGUAUUGUUUGUAAUACACACGGCGAAAGUAUAUUAAGCGUUUAUAUUUACAUUGUUAUAAAAAACGAACACCGGGUAUACCGGUCCGCGUAAUACGUUUAUUGAUGUUAAAAUUGUAUAAUGACGAUAAAUAAUGCGCAUUGACAAAGACGGAAUGUGAUAAGCAACGACGAAAACAAUAAAAUAUAUUUAACCGCGUAGCGUGACGCCGCGUGAUUUCGCGGUUGUCGCGCGACAAUGCUGAUAACGGUUAUAAUAUGACGUGUCUUUAAAUAAAUAUUAUUACUAUUGUUAUUAUAUGCAUAUUGAUAAUACC